UCGUUGUUGCGAUAGUAAUCCUGCUUAGUACGAGAGGAACCGCAGGUUCAGACAUUUGGUUCAUGUGCUUGGCCGAUCGGCCAAUGGUGCGAAGCUACCAUCUGAGGGAUUAUGACUGAACGCCUCUAAGUCAGAAUCCCGCCUAGUCAAGGCAACGAUAAAUUUGCUCCCCGGUGUCGGGAGGCACUUCUAUGCAACUUUUGUUACAGCUAAUGCCCCAUUAGAUGGCCUUGCCAAGCUGCUGAAAGGUAGCUUGGUUGCCAAAGCCGGACUACACGGUGCAACGUCGGGGCGCAAAAAAAUUUGCUCCCCGGUGUCGGGAGGCACUUCUAUGCAACUUUUGUUACAGCUAAUGCCCCAUUAGAUGGCCUUGCCAAGCUGCUGAAAGGUAGCUUGGUUGCCAAAGCCGCACUACACGGUGCAACGUCGGGGCGCAAAAAAAUUUGCUCCCCGGUGUCGGGAGGCACUUCUAUGCAACUUUUGUUACAGCUAAUGCCCCAUUAGAUGGCCUUGCCAAGCUGCUGAAAGGUAGCUUGGUUGCCAAAGCCGCACUACACGGUGCAACGUCGGGGCGCAAAAAAAUUUGCUCCCCGGUGUCGGGAGGCACUUCUAUGCAACUUUUGUUACAGCUAAUGCCCCAUUAGAUGGCCUUGCCAAGCUGCUGAAAGGUAGCUUGGUUGCCAAAGCCGCACUACACGGUGCAACGUCGGGGCGCAAAAAAAUUUGCUCCCCGGUGUCGGGAGGCACUUCUAUGCAACUUUUGUUACAGCUAAUGCCCCAUUAGAUGGCCUUGCCAAGCUGCUGAAAGGUAGCUUGGUUGCCAAAGCCGCACUACACGGUGCAACGUCGGGGCGCAAAAAAAUUUGCUCCCCGGUGUCGGGAGGCACUUCUAUGCAACUUUUGUUACAGCUAAUGCCCCAUUAGAUGGCCUUGCCAAGCUGCUGAAAGGUAGCUUGGUUGCCAAAGCCGCACUACACGGUGCAACGUCGGGGCGCAAAAAAAUUUGCUCCCCGGUGUCGGGAGGCACUUCUAUGCAACUUUUGUUACAGCUAAUGCCCCAUUAGAUGGCCUUGCCAAGCUGCUGAAAGGUAGCUUGGUUGCCAAAGCCGCACUACACGGUGCAACGUCGGGGCGCAAAAAAAUUUGCUCCCCGGUGUCGGGAGGCACUUCUAUGCAACUUUUGUUACAGCUAAUGCCCCAUUAGAUGGCCUUGCCAAGCUGCUGAGCGAAGCUACCAUCUGAGGAAUUAUGACUGAACGCCUCUAAGUCAGAAUCCCGCCUAGUCAAGGCAACGAUAAAUUUGCUCCCCGGUGUCGGGAGGCACUUCUGUGCAACUUUUGUUACAGCUAAUGCCCAAUUAGAUGGCCUUGCCAAGCUGCUGAAAGGUAGCUUGGUUGCCAAAGCCGGACUACACGGUGCAACGUCGGGGCGCAAAAUCACUUGCAGACGACUUGAUUACUGGUCAAGGUGUUGUAUCCAGUAGAGCAGCCUCCAUACUGCGAUCUGUUGAGACUUAUCGUUUGAUUGGACGAUUU
rnacentral:ncRNA from 1 species